GUCGGUCUCACUCCUCCUACGCUAAUGACGCAUAGACCCGAGGCCACUAUAGAUCUUCCUAUCACCGGGAGCGCGCUGGCGACGGACCGGCCCUGGCCGAAAUCCUCGUGGGGGCCAGCUGGCGACGCAACCACCAUCCCACCUCGGCUACAAAAGCGGACACCCCUGCCGCUCCUGCAGAUGAUCCCCUUCCGCCGUCGCACUAAGAGCCCAAAAGACAUCGCCGCCGAGCGCCAUUAAUAGAGGAAAGCUGCCGCCGGUGAAUCUCAUCUAUGCCAACGCCCCCGUCUUCGACGCACCGCCAAGCAGAAUCACCUGGGCAUAGGAAAGCCGUCCGUGCCCUUAGGGUGAAUCAGGAGUCUUCGGGACGCGUGGAAUUCCAUGUCAGUUGGCCGGGAAGAUCACCGCCGCGUGCAUCGUGGCGGGCAGCUCCACCCUCACCGACAUAGCGAGUAAGGACCUCUCCACUGGUUUUGCGCUCGCCUCCGCCCUGCGUAGGAUCCAUCUGUUAUGAUUUUGGGGCACUAGGGAACCGAUCCGUAGUUCGUCGGUGGGAGCUCCACCGCGAGGGGCGAGGCUCGUCGCCCUGCUCUGACCUAGGGAGGAAGAAUAGGUUUCAGACGUUGGAUGCUCUUUGAACGGCGUUGAUUGAAUCCAUGUAUUUGGGGUGGUUGUUGCAUCUACGUCGUUGGUUCGUGCAGGGACGACUGUGAUUAAACCGAGCAUACCGUUUCAGCUGGAUCAGUCUGGUGCGUCCGAUCUUGAUCCAGUGGAUGCAGAACGAUCUCAAUAUUUAAAGCCUGCGCCAUUGGAUUAGAAUCCGAUGGCUUCCCUCGCGUGUCACUUUAGUGUGAGCGUGGUUCUAAUCUGGCGCGUAGAUUAUUGAUCGGGCGGCUCAGAACAACAUAUACCCUUUCGUUCUGACAUAUUAGCAAAAGAGACCCUACGUUUCUUGUUUAAAAAUCCGUAGUCUAGGUCUGUGACAAGAUCAUUACGCAGAGGCCCCGAAUUUUGCAGAUUAAACCCUGUAGAACUCUAGAUUAUUGUGUGCAGUCCAGUUAGGAAAUAAAAUGGGAUAUAAUAAUAAAGAAAGUGAUUUUCUAGUAUAAAAAUACUUCUAGGACUUGUUUAAUCCAUAAGUAAUCCAUUUUAAUUCCUUUUUAAUCCAUUCCAGUUGCAUUAAUUUUUAAUUAAUAUUGUUUAUCACUUGGUAACUCUGUUUUAUCAUGAAACAGAGACUAAAAUCAUCCACUUAAUUUAUUCUAUAUCAAACACUUAAAACUUCGGAAAAUCAUAACUCUUUAACCGUAACUUCGAAUUUAGCGAUUCUUGAACUUACGAUCUCAUUACGAUGCAUGAAAUAUUAAUAUGUAGUAGGUACUCAUGUUUGGUGUAAUGUUAAUUUCUCAUGUACCAUGUUUCUUUGUAUUGUUGCGAGUAUACGAGUAAGCCACUGAGGACCUAGGUGCCUAGCAGGUGGAAAAUACUGAGCAGGAGACCGUUGAAGGGAAGUUGUGCCCUUGAUCACUUUCUAUUUACCCAAUAAUGUUCAUGUUAAUCAUUAUGAUCUGCAUAGGUUAAUUUUGAUGAGACCCAAUAGGUCACCCCAGUUUGGCAAUACCUUGUUUACCACUGAACUUUUGGGAAGUACCUGCUAUUGAUUUAUGUGGUUUUGGGUGUUAAGAUACACAUUAUUCAUGGUCAUGCUUUUAUUACAAAUGUGUUAUUUACUGUUCAUGACAAGAUCAUUAUGUUAAUUGGAACAUGGAGCGACCACCUGGGAAAACAGUGCUACCACAAGGGUGGUAUGAGACGCCCUUGACUGACUAAUUAGGAAAGCUAGUGGAGAACUACCUUACCUGAAAGGGGCAAGGGCAGUAGGGGAGUGGUUUGUAUAGGGAGGUUCUCGGGUUGAUUUUGAUGUGAUGGCUUUUCAGACGGGGGAUUCCUAUACUGUGCUCCCUAGAAACUAUAGUGGGUUUUCUAAAGCUAGUGGAACUUUGUAAAGGCCUCAUAGUGUUGCCCUGCCUCACUUCCUUGGUAGAGGUGUAUGGGGUCCGAUCAACCCCAUGGAAAAUGGGUAACACGACUUGUGGGUAAAGAUGUGCAACCUCUGCAGAGUGUAAAACUGGUAUAUCAGUCGUGCUCACGGUCAUGAGCGGCUCGAACCCUCACAUGAGUAACUUAUGGAAUUAAAUUUUAUUGGUCAUUUGCAUCACAUUGUGGUUUAUUUAUUAAUUGUGAUCUCUCAUUAUUUUGGUUGGUAUUUACUUAUACUUAGUAACUGCUAAUAAAAUUUGACCAACUUAUUAAAAGCAAUGCUCAACUUUAACCAUUAUUUGUUGAUCAGCCUUACACUUCACAUGAGCUCCCACCUUUGGUGAGUUCAUGCACAUUAUUCCCCACAACUUGUUGAGCUAUGAUAUUUUGUGAGCUCACCCUUGCAAUAUAUAAAUCCCCCCACAGGAGAAGAACAGGUAGCCCAGGAGGAGGUCUAGUACAAGGAGUACGAGCUUGUCUUUGUGGCGUCUCGCAGUCAGCUUGAUGGCGCCAAGGAAUAAUUAUUUGUUUUCUUUAUUGUUAUCAUUUAUUUUUGUAAGACACUUCCACUAUGUAAUAAUGGUUGUGACAUUUAUCGCUAUACACUUGGUCAUUAUAUGUGUUGUUCUUCUUUGGCGUACAUAUGAGACGCACACGGCUUUAUCCCUUAAAUCUGGGUGUGACAAUGUAAGAAUGGCUAAGUGUUGCUAGAGUUCAAAUAAGAGUCCCAUUUACAAAGGGGUUGUCCCCCUUUAUAGAUCAAGGGAGAGGGAGUUACAAGAUAUGUG
rnacentral:lncRNA from 1 species